CAUUUUCUCAGAGACAGAAAGGAAAUGCUCCUUUUGAGGGGAAAGCUUGUGAGGAAGAAACAGGGUUCCUUCAUAGGAGGGAGGGCUUUAAAAGCCCUUCUAAAACAUGAAAGACGUCCCAUCUUAAAACCACACCCUCCAGUUGUAGGCCAUGUGAGCCAUCACAAUAUUCAGCUAAGUUGGGAGUUGGAAGAACAACGAAAGGGUCCACAAGAACAAUGGUUACAAUUUUCAAUUGAAGAAGAGGAUCCAAAGUUGCACAGAUAUGCUCUAAUUUACACUGGAUAUUCUCGACAGCAUGUUGUGGAAGGUCUGGAACCUAGAACAACCUACAGAUUUCGUCUUAAAGUUACAGAUCCUGCUGGCGAGUCUGUUUACAGUUCACCUGUUUGUGUAACCACACAAAGCGAACCAAUGAGUGGAGACCAACUCCACCGUGCAGUAAGCAGGGAUGAUGUAGAUGAAGUUCUUCAUAUUCUUCAGAAAAGGCAAGUAGUGGUAGACACCCUGAAUAAAUUAGGAUUUACAGCUUUGAUGGUUGCUUCACAGAAGGGAUAUACAAGACUGGCCCAUAUUUUGGUAGAAAAUGGAGCAGAUGUAAACAUGAAGAAUUCCAGUGGAAAGGACAGUUUGAUGAUAGCAUGUUUUGCUGGACGGCUGGACAUUGCUCAAUAUCUAAGAUCCAAAGGAGCUUCCUGGCUAGCCAGAGACCUUGGGGGAUGUACAGCGAUGCACUGGGCUGCUGAUGGAGGACACACUGAUGUUAUUGAGUGGAUGAUUGAGGAUGGUUGUGAGGUUGAUCCUAAAGACACAGGACUGGAGUGGACUCCACUGAUGAGGCUGUGUGCAUUAAGUGGAAAAACAGAUGUGGCCAGACUUUUCAUAGAUUCUGGAGCUAACGUUAAUGCAAAAGAUAAAGAUGGCAAGACACCUUUAAUGAUUGCAGCUUUAAAUAACCAUGAAGACUUGGUUACACUGUUGCUUGAGAGAGGAGCAGAUCCUGAGAUUAAAAAUGAGUUUGGCAAAGGAGCCCUGGAAAUGGCUAGAGGUUUGAAUAGACAGUCCGUGGCUGCAAUAAUAGAAGAUAAAAAAAAGCAAUUGAGUACUGUUAACAUUCCUCUUACUCCAUCUUCCAGUACACAGCUGUGUGAAGCAAGUAAAUGAAAUCCUAAUCUUUUUCACCAGGAAGGUGGUAGGAACUUGAAGACUGAAUUCUAGCUGUUUCCCUUUUUCAUAUUUGGUUGUUAGCAUGUUCUUAGACUUCCUAAUUAAAUGCAAGCUUUGAUUCUUAUUCAGUAUUUUCUUUGGUGUUUACUUUUGUCUGCAUUUUAAAGAAGCAUCACUUUCUAACUAUAUUGAAUGUUGCACUGAUUCUAGUAUUUCACUCUUCUGUCUUUUUACUUUGUGCUAGGAGUGGUGUUUGUUUCAGGUACUUGAGUAUUAAUGGUCACUGGGUGCUUCUAGAGAUAGUCAAGUACUAGUCCUAAUAGUGCACUUGUUUCAUGUUUUCUCCAUUAAUGAAGGCUUUGUGGAAAUAAGGAAGAUGAAAACAGUGGUAUGGAAACAUGGUAUAUAACAACACAAGAAAGUCUGAACUGCCCAUGAAGUUUGCUUGCUUAUUUAUUAAUUUAUUUAGUAACCUGCUUCCAAAUGGGAUUCAAAGCAACUAAACUUCCAAGCUUCUCUGGAAGCAUCCACCGAUACAGCCAAACUAGAUGCAUUUCUACAUUUACUGUCUGACCAUGAACUG